AACCGGUACUCAGUUCGGAUCGCAGUCUGCAACUCGACUGCGUGAAGGUGGAGUCGCUAGUAAUCGCGGAUCAGCAACGCCGCGGUGAAUGCGUUCCCGGGCCUUGUACACACCGCCCGUCAAGUCAUGAAAGUGGGCAGCACCCGAAGACGGUGGCCUAACCCUUGUGGGGGGAGCCGUCUAAGGUGAGGCUCGUGAUUGGGACUAAGUCGUAACAAGGUAUC
rnacentral:rRNA from 1 species